CUCCCUCAGCCUUACUCCAGGGCCUUUUGCUGUAAAGUGCCCUGGCAUUGCCCGGGGGGACAUGAAAGAGCACAGAUUCCCCCCCCAGGGGACACUGCUUUCCUGGGGGGCCCUCGGACUGAGCUGACAGA